rnacentral:rRNA from 1 species
CACGUAGGGCGCAAGCGUUGUCCGGAAUUAUUGGGCGUAAAGAGCUCGUAGGCGGUCUGUUACGUCUGCUGUGAAAACCCUGGGCUUAACCCUGGGCUUGCAGUGGAUACGGGCAGACUAGAGGCAGGUAGGGGAGAAUGGAAUUCCCGGUGUAGCGGUGAAAUGCGCAGAUAUCGGGAGGAACACCGGUGGCGAAGGCGGUUCUCUGGACAGUUCCUGACGCUGAGGCACGAAGGUCAGGGGAGCAAACGGG